AUUCUUCUACCUAGCAGGGGAGACACCAUGAUCAUGAAGGUGGUUCACCCAGGGUGAGGCCCAGCCAUUGCACUGCAGCUAUGCUGAACUCUGCGAAUUCCUCAAAUGUAGGAAUCUCCACUGCAUAAUUUCUGAUAGUGGGGAACUGCAUUUGCGCUCUUCCCUG